rnacentral:lncRNA from 10 species
CAUUUAUUGUAGCCACAUCCAGCUCCCUCCGUGUGGAUCUUGGGACAACCAAAAGAAGCAGAAAGGAUUCACCUGCGAGCCACAUCCCAGGGCAAGCGGCUGGACGUCAGUCAAGACACAUGGCCUUCUCCUUCCCUUCUCUCAUCAGCAGGUGAUUAAACAGAUCAGUAACUGAAAGAAGGCCGGCUGUAACAGAGGACCAUGGUCUGGGUGUCUUACACAACACAAUUCUGGAGACUGGAAGUCCCAAAUCAAGGAGCUGGCAGGUUGCUUCCUUCUGAAGCUGAGCAAGUAUGAAUCCAAGAUGGAGGCAUGCCAGCUUCAGUCCCCAUGUGGUGUUGAAGUUGCUGCCAUCGGAAGCAGUCACAGAGGACACUUGCCUCUCUGGGGAAGGAGGAACCCACUCCACUCAAGGGAGAAGGAAGAAAGAAGAUAGAGGCUCAAGGAGGAGUAGGAGGGGGAGCAGAAAAAUGACUCAUUUCUGCAUUAACCCUUUAGAAGAAUACAUAAGAAUUUGAAACAAUGGUUGCCCCUGGGCAGGGGGUGGAAGACAGGAAAUGAG